CUCGGAGAAAAAACUCCAGAAACCCGCACAGAUGUUCGUUGCCCUGAGAUACUGGCUGAAUACGAAUCUGCAGAAUCUAAGUUCCUGAUCCUUGGGUCUUCAGAGCAUACCGGGAGCCGGGGACAUGCACAGACGUUCACAGCAGAUGCCUUACUGAAUGAAUGCAUGAUCGUAGAGUUAAUGAAGCAAUGGCCGUGAGGCGGGCACCAUACCACCUGACUCCCGAGUGGUGUGCCUGGGAGGCUAAGGUGAGGGCUCAGAGAGAAGGGGGGCACUCUACUGGAAGUUGGGGCCCCUGUUAUGGAGAGAUGAAAGGUUCCGGGACUGCCUAUGAGAGAUGGAAUCGCUGGAGCCAGAGGGAAGAUUGUGGUACC